GUAUUUUCUUCCAUAGUUGUUCUCUUCUCCUCCUAGAAAUGUAAGGUUUACAUCUAUAGAUUUAAAACAUGUGUUCUAGUAUUUAUAUUCAAAUAAAGUUACAUAUUAAAAUUCAUAUUAAUAUGUCUUUAAUUUAUAACUAUUUUGUCUAUUAAAUCAUAUUUUUAAAAGUUUUUUAGAUUUAAACUUAUUUCAUAUUUUUAAUGUAUUAUUUUUCAGAUCUAUUUUUUUUUUAUAGAGUAGACUUCAUUUGAAAUCUACUUAAAACUUACGGCUGGUAGACUUCAAAUGAAGUCUACUAGCCUUGACUUUUAAGCAUA
rnacentral:lncRNA from 1 species